AUUGAACGCUGGCGGCAUGCCUUACACAUGCAAGUCGAACGGCAGCACGGGUGCUUGCACCUGGUGGCGAGUGGCGAACGGGUGAGUAAUACAUCGGAACGUACCUUAUCGUGGGGGAUAACGCAGCGAAAGCUGUGCUAAUACCGCAUACGCCCUGAGGGGGAAAGCGGGGGAUCGAAAGACCUCGCGCGAUUAGAGCGGCCGAUGCCUGAUUCGCUGGUUGGUGGGGUAAAAGCCCACCAAAGCGACGAUCAGUAGCUGGUCUGAGAGGACGAUCAGCCACACUGGGACUGAGACACGGCCCAGACUCCUACGGGGGGCAGCAGUGGGGAAUUUUGGACAAUGGGGGCAACCCUGAUCCAGCAAUGCCGCGUGAGUGAAGAAGGCCUUCGGGUUGUAAAGCUCUUUUGUCAGGGAAGAAACACCGGCUCUAACACAGUCCGGGAAUGACGGUACCUGAAGAAUAAGCACCGGCUAACUACGUGCCAGCCGCCGCCGUAA
rnacentral:rRNA from 1 species